AUUAAGUGAUGUCACGGCCAAACUCUUGCUCCUAACAAGGCCCAGCUGGGCCCUGGCCCUGGAGAAAUGCAUGUUGGCAGUGAACUGGGGACUGGCCUCCCUCGACCUGCCCAGGGGCCAGUCCCCCCCCUCCCCACCACCCCCACUUCCUGGGCCUCUGGGAGCAGGCCAGUUUCUUUUCCAGGGGCCAUUGUGGCCACUGAGAGGGAAGAGGCCAUCGUUCCAAGUCACAGAAAGAUAUUUUUGGUGAUUUGCAAACACUCUCCAUUCACCACUGCAAAGGGAAUGCAUCUAAAGUGAAUUCCACCGGCCGCUUUAGGAGCUCAAGGCCCGGCCUGGCUUUCCUUCCUUGGCAGAAGUUGCCAGCUCCAGCCCUGUGGCUUUAGUUCUCGAAGUUGUCAGCUUGGAAGACAGAGGGAGCAUUAAGGGAAGAGAUUAUGUAUUAAGGAAAAUAAGCAGUGGCCUAUAAAUUACCUCAAGUGAAUAAACAAAGUCUGCCUUGGAAAUAGGCUUCUGGGGGAAGGUGAGAGCGAUACACGGGAAUGUAUGAAAUCGGAGAGAAAUGUGUCAAAAACAAAUUACAAACCUUCCCGAUGCAGGAUUACACAUGAAUGGAUGGUAAUAACCACGCCAUCAGUCACACCCCAACGUGUGCGCUGCGGCUUCAUCUCACCACCCAGCGUCAGCUCUCGGGUCAUUAAUGAGCAGCCGCGGUUCUGGAGAGCAGAACAGGAGCGGGACCGGAGGAUGCUGGUUCUGCUUCCAUCGCGUGAUUCAUUUCCUUAUCGACUUCUCUUUUUCUGCCCUCGUGUUGCUAAAAAUGACUUCUGAAGAAAAACAAAGAGCCUUCUUUCAAAAGGAAAAGCUCCAAGUCUGUGCUCUCAGAGUUCACCAGCGAUACAGAGAGGAGACUGCGUCCCUCAAAGAGACUUAAUUAAAGGAACUUACUCGCUCCUUUACACCUAACACCAGAAAACAGCCACGAGAAGUUUUCUGUGUUAACACCACACUUUCCCUUCUUCUCCCCUCGGUAGCGGCAUCUCUCUGUUUCAUGAGAGCUGAACCACUCCACACAAAGAAGAGUUUACUCCAAUACAAACAGAAAUUAUAGGAAAUAUAAAAACCCCGCUAAACCCUUUAAUCUCUAACUUUCCAAGCAGGUGAAUUAAUAGAGAGGACAGUCGAGAUUUAUUUCCUCUAAGCUCCAACAGUAAAGAGUGUUUCAAAGUCAUUCUCAAAGCUCUGGAGAUUUUUCAAAUCCAAAUGAACCAAGCUUAACUCUGUCGUGAGAUAUAUAAUAAAACCGACUCCAGGAUUCACCUCCUUAAAGGUAUAGGGUACCUUUGGAUAAGAGAAAAUGAAAUCACAGCAUUCAAACAUAUGUGGCUCUAAUAGUUAAAAAUUUCGACUAAGGGUUUCUUGCUUCAAGCAUAAACUCAAGCUCCUCAAUGGAUGAUGUGAAUCUUAAUUUUAAAAUGAGCCCAAAAAGCAAUUAACUAGAGUGUACACCAGAUGAAGGGAACAAAGUAUAUGCACGUUUACCUGUAAGAACAGUGUCCCCUACCCUGUAAUUCCAGACACAUCAUCAUCACAUGCAUUCGAGCUCAGAACUGCCAGAAGGUCCCUUAUUCUUCUUGAUCCUUGUCACAGCACCUCCUGGAAACUGCUUGUUAUGUAAGAGAAGGUGUAAAUGGUUUUCUUGUCCCUGAAUUUCUUGUCUUACAUAAGACAACACUAAGCAUAUUUCAAAUAAAAGAGUUACAAUUAUCAAUAGCCAUGUCAAAGAUUAAAUACCCAAGCUGAGACAGCCGAGUUAAAAAAGAUGAUAAACUAACACAGAAAGCUUUGAUUUUUCUAGGACCAAAAAAAAAAAAAAAAAGUUCGUCAGAUGUUUGUUUUACACUGUAGCAAUUAUCCAAGCUGAAUAAACAAGUGGGCUCUGAAAGAAAGGUUUUGGAGGAAGGUGAGAAGUGUAUGCACAGCUAAGUGAGGUCAGAACGAUGCAAGUUAAUUUAUUGUGCUGAAGUGGAAGCAUCCAUGACGAGAAUGGCCUUCGGACCAUGUCAGAUUCAUCAACAUCCCACAGGAGGCCCAAGAAAUGGAACUCACGACUCCACAUCCCAACACCUUCUAGACACCACCGGAUAAAGGAUGUGAGUGUGUGUCCUGAAUAAACAUGAGCAAUGACCAGGCACUGCCGGACAUGUCAGAGACGUAUAAUCCACUUUAAAUUAAUUUUGAAUUCAUCAAAACACACUUUGCAAAGUAACUUACUGACAAUGAUUCCAGAGACGCUUAAAAAACAUAUUCGAGCUUUGCCGAGAUACAGUUCCCAGACUGUAUCAUUUAGCCAAUUAACGUGUACAGUGGGGGAGAGAGUCUGAGAUGAACAGAUGCUCGCUACUAUGGAUAAACGAGAUAAACAACAAGGACCUACUGUAGAGCACCGGGAACUAUGGCCAGUAUCCUGUAAUAACCUAAAAUGCAGAUGAAUCUGAAAAAGGAGGUAACUGAAUCACUUUGCUGUACACCUGAAACAAACACACUAUAAAUCAAUUCCACGUCAAUUAAAGCAUAAUAAAGGAUGCGAUUAAUGGGUUCUUAGCAUAAGCACAAAUAAGUGAGAACAUCACCAAUGUCAAGAGAAAAGAAGAGAAAAUACACGAGAAAAGGCACACGUUCUUGGCGGGAGCAUUCCUCGGACUUCGUUGUUGUUGGGUUUCUCAUGAUUUCCCGUGGUAAAAGAGCUCCAUCCGCCUGGCUGCCAAAUAAACUCUCUUCCCAAAUAAAGUGAGAGCGGGCAAGAGAAAAACUGCUCAUUCGCAAAACGGAGACUCACCGAGUUAAAAAAUUAAGUUGUACAGAUCAGAAAUGUAAUCAUAGGAGACAAGCUCUGAGAGUUUUUCAAUCACUGUGGGGCUGCAUCAAUUUAAAGUCAUGUUACAUUAAAGAGAAAAACGUCUCCAAGAGUCUCCCUGUGUCACUUUAGAUUAGAUUUGUUGUUGUUAUCAGGCUGUGCAUUUUGUCGGCUUUAUUUUACAUUUUAAAGAUAUUGCUUAAUGCCCAUAAAUAAGAAACGUCACCUAUGACUUGUUCUCAGCCACCCAGGGAAUAGGAGACAGCACAAAUUAACACAGAGAAUAAAACCUCAUGUCCGUCAAGAUUCGUAUUAACUAACUCCACAUCCAGUGAUUUUAACUCCGUUCCCCUUAAUUGAAGAGUUAUACAAAAAAAUAAAGCUGUGGUCCACUUCCCUUCACCUGUCCUACCACGUAGGAGGCAAGUGGACAGUCCCAUCCAGUUUGUCUCAAUGUCUCGUCAAGUGCGACUUCCUUCAUCUCGCCAGGCUCUUGUUAAAGGGUCUAUGAGUUUAAUCCUGGGCUCCCAGGGCUUCUAAACAUCAGGAUGCAUAAAAGUGACACUUCACCAAUUUAAGUGAUAAGUUUUCAAAUUGUGAGGCAUCUAAUUGUAACGAUAAAUUCCCUUUGCUUUCCUCCAUGGCCAGACAUCUGUAUCUUUAACAAACAAAAGUGGCAGUUUAAAAACAAUUAGACUCUGCAACCCUCGCGGAUAAAUGUCAGUCUCCACAGACGGCACGUAACUCGGAAGUGCGUCUCCACGUCCUGGCCCACGCAGGCCAAGCACAUGCAGCGUUAGGGGAGGCCCUGGCCUGGAAGUAACGCCUUGCUCGCUUUGCUUUCUGGGGUGGAGAUGGAGGUGCACAUCCAAACAACAACAGAGGAAACUUGAAGGCCUCACCGGGACGAAGACGAAUGCAGCAACGGCAUCACUACGCACUCUCUUUUCCCUUAGAAGCAGGAGAGUGGACGGCGUACUGGUGGGCAGUACCAUCGGAUAAAAGGCUGUUUGCCAGCUCCCACAUUCCAACCCUCACACCCACCAACGAACGGCCACCUAGUGACAAGGACAUGAAGCACACACAACGAAGGACAAGGGUGGUGGAAAACUCGAGGGGCCUGGAUAGGAAUGGGCCUCUGCUUCCCACGGAAAUACAAGAAGCUGGCAUCUGGGUUCUGCACUGGCUCUGAGCUGCCAAGGGCAUGAAGUCUGCAAGGAUCUCUGAGGGUCACGGACGAUGCUCCACUUCCGGCUUAUAUGCUGACUUCAGAACCUGCCCCUGCAGGCGAUGGGUCUCCAGGGCCUUCGGGGCAGACAGAAUUAUUUAUCCCUGUCUCCCUAUACAUUAAACACCCUUUCCUGGGAGGUGAGAUAACUGUGUGCCGAACGAAUGGGCAAGUCUUAUAUUUAACGUUUCAAGCAGGUAAGCAACACUUCACACGACAGCCAAUCAGAGAUUUCUCUUCUGAGCCCCCGUUAAGCUCUCUGGUCUCUAUUAAGGUCGGAAGCUCAGAACCCGGCAGAACAGUCUAGUGAGGCUCUGAUUGCGUCAGGAGGAUCAGGCUCCACAUGGCAGGGCAGUGUUCUGUCCCUGGUACUGCUCUGGCCCCUGUGAUCGUUCAGGGACCUUUAUUCAUUAUCUGCUCCUCAAAUAAAGGCUAUUGCCUCCUUGUCUACUGCCUCCUCUUACAUCUUUCAUUUGUUUUUGUUUUUUUCCUUUCUUCCCAACCAAGGUUAUACCUAUAUAAACACUGUUUCUACCAACCAAGUGUCCUCACUUUGGGUACCAUCUAUCCUCUCUACGCACCCUUGGAGGCAGGGAGGGAAGUUAGGACGAAGCACGAAGGCAGCACUGGAUUUGUAUUACUGUGUCUGAGCAGCAAGAUGCCAGCUCAGCAGGGCGGGCAGAACAAUCCCACUUCCAAAGGCGUCCAAGUCCUGGUCCUCGGAACCUGCGAAUACAGGUCAGGCGGCAAAAGGGAUUCCGGUUGCAGGUGAAAUUAAGGUUGCCUAUCAGCUGAACUUAGAGCAAUGACCUUGGAUUAUCGAGGUGGGCCAAUGGAAGCACAAGGGGCCUGAAAGGUGGAAGGAGGUGGCAGAAGAGGAGUGUCGCAGGAAGACAUUCAGUAAAGAGAACGGCACCUUGCUCGCUGGGGCCACGGCCAAGGAAUGGGGCAGCUAGAAAGGCAGGGAAAGAGAUUCUCCCUGGAGCUUCCAGAGGGAAUGCAGCCCAGCUAACACCUCAAUUCCAGCCCAGUGAGGCCCGUGUCAGACUUCUAUCCUGCACAAAUGUAAGAGAAUAAAUGCCUGGAGUUUAGCUGCUGAGUUUGUGCUAAUGUGUCACAGCAGCAAGAAGAAACUAAUACGACUACAACGGGUAUAAGGGGUGUAAGUCAUCAGUCAAGCCACUGGUUUGCUGAUCUGCCAGUCUCCAAGCAAAUGGAUCAUCUGCUUUAAAAUAAUUAGGCCACACUUUUGGGGUCAAAAUGAUUUUUUUAUCGUCUUUAAUACUUUUGUCAUGGGUGGAGGUGACAGUGACAGGCUCAUGGCAGCAAGCACCGAGUACGUGGUGAUUUGCAGGGCUUGUCAUCAAACCCUGACACAGACCCCAAGAGGUAAGAGCAAUUACGAACCACAUUUUAAAGAUGGGGAAACAAGUUCAGAGGGGUCUGGCACCUGGCCAAAGACCACAAAGGGAGGGACUGGCGGGGCCUGGACAUGAACCCUUCAGUCUGACCUUGAAAACACUCAAAAACACUCAGAGGCUUCUGGCAAGAGCAACAGCAGUGACCUUGGGUGACUAGCCUGUGGCAGGGAUAGGGAUCCUGAGACCCAAGGGUCUGUGAGGUCAGCAUGAAAGAUAGCAGACAGGCAAGGGGGCUCUGAUCAGCCAGCUGCCCCCCCCCCAGCCCACUGGCCACAACUGGGGGGGACAGCCCAGCCACCAGUUUCGGCAAGCACAAGAGCCAAGGGAGGCUCAGAGCAAAGCAUGACACGUCGAUCAGCUCCUGCUCUGUGGCAGUGGGGCCUGUCCCUCACACCCCGGACAGGUCUCAGACAGCCUCCUGAAACUGCCCUGGGGGCCCCAGAGGCCCUGAGGUCUCUGGAGCUUGUCACUCAGGCACCGAAUACACUUAGUCUAAUUGGAUAUUAUUCCUUCUUUAUGAAGCCAAGCAGGUUGUUACCUGGUUCCCUGGGUGAGACAUUUGCAGCUUCAUUCUGCAAUUAUGUGUCCCUGGUAUUUGUCAUGGCACAGAAGGGAAAUCUCUGUGUCGCUGGUCCCCAAUGUCAUCUUUUCCUACUGUUUAAAACGUAGAUGCUACGCUAGGUCUUUUUUAAUCUGUGAGUGCUUUUCCAUCCUCGACAGAAGGAAGAAAAAAAAAAAAAAAAAACCUGGAUAUCCAACCAAUUAUUUUCUAACCCACAUUAAAAAUAGAUGCCAUCUCCAUCGAAGCUGUGGCUAUCGUGAGGACUGCUCACAUUUGUCCUGGCCCUUCGAUUCUCUGGGGACACACAGUAGGACUGCUCUUUCCCGUGCUUCUCAAGUCAGGCGUGGCUGUGGACUUAUUUUGGCCAAUGAACUGUGGCUGGAAGCACUACUUCUGGGUGAAAGCUUCACAAUGUGGCACUUGCUUGCCACAUCCCCUUCCCUCUCCAGAAAUACAAGAGGCACAUGUACGAGACGGUGCCGAGGUCAGCCCAGGUCCCUGAGUGACUUGAACGGGCAGAGCCCCUCUUCCUACUGGUCAGCUGUCAUGAGUGAGAAAUAAACUCACUGUGUAAAGCCACUGAGAUCUGGGGAUGUUUGUUACUGCAGCACAACCUAGUACGGCCCAACUGGUAAAAGCCCUUAUAAAAGUUCCACCUCCUUGUCAUGAAGUAAGCCUUCUGUUUUGCCCCCAAACGUAUGGGACUGCUCCUGAGUUAUCAGAGGUGGGCCAGGCAGGCGCUGGAGGCUGUAAGAUCUAGCCUGAGUCUAGCAUCCUUUCUGGCUCCACCCCCUCUCGUUCUGCAGCACACCCUCUUUUUUGGACCUAGUCCAUGUUCAUGGAGCAAAAAUCUGGACCUCACUCUUCUCACCACCUCAUCUUGAGAGAGUUACAAGCAGACUCACCCAUAUUUCAAUUACAAAACGCAAAUCCAGUCAGCCCAUCAGGCCUCCUGGGGCUUUCUCGGAUCCAGCAUGAGCCACACGUGGGUCAAGGACGGGGUCAUUCCUCUGCCUCCCCCUGGAAAACCACCACGAAUCCCCAUCCUUUCAGAAUGCCUCCACGAUGGCUUCCUCUGAGGGGACAUCUUUUCCUACCAACCUGCAGUGACCAACCUCUGCCCUCGGGGAAGAAAUCAACACACUCCUUUCUCCAGCGAGUCAGGCUUCCCCCCGUGAUGGUGUCUGACGGCCAACGAAGCAGAGCCGAACCGUUCUCGGUGCUGUGGCCAGAGGCUCCACUCUGGACCAAGGUCAGUACCCCUGCUGAGUGCCUCGCCAGGAAGGGCCGUUCAUAGCCCCGAUUCCCAAGCAGGAUGCCCACUGCUGGCUGCCCUCUCCCAUCUUUCC
ensembl:lncRNA